UUAAAAUGAGUACUCCCACGAGAAGAAGUAAAAUAAGCUAGAACCAUUAUUGUACCCCCGACCCCAUUUGAUGGGGCAUUGCGGUUGUAAAAUGGGGGUUUUCAAGGAAUAACGGUGGCGUAGGGGAAAUUGAGACGAGCCAAACAGAGAAAAGAAUAACUCAGCCAUGACCAACAAGGCAGUCAGCCGCAGCGACAAUUUCAGUAGGAUUAUUUCUGCAGUCAGAUUCGAAAUAUCCCGCGCAAUGUGUGUCGGCGCUGUUUUUCUGUUCGGAGUAGCCGCGCCUUGGUGCUGCAGAGGACGCCGAAGUCGGAACUACGCGCGGAGGAACACCAGCCUUCGGAGCGCGCGCGCGUGCGUUGAAAGCUGCGAUCGAGCAGCCAUUUGCCAGCGACGGCACAUUCUUCUACCGUGGUUGAUGUUUCUCACUGCUUUGAACCCCCAAGACUCCACGGUAAGUGACUUUGAACGAUUAUUACAUGUUCUAUGAGUGUGCAUGUGUUCUAAGUGAGGAGACGCGCUGAUAUGACUUAUUGAAGGUCUCGGUACAACAUGGCGCGACAGUUGGCCGUCCAGAACCAUUUUGCACGAUCACUGUGUUUCUUCGAGCUUUGUCGUAAUCGAAUCGACUUGAGUGCUCAGAGUCAAGCGAGUGUACUUAAAAAUUAGGAUUUUAUAUAAUGAGGGACUUUGCCGCGUCUUUAAUUGGGCGGAUGUGAGCAUUCGACAUGAUCCCCGAAGCGCAAGCCACUACCAUAAUAGUUACGUGCAGUGCGAGGUGAGCUAAGCUUCGCCGCCUAACCGCGGCCUGAAAAUGUGGCGGCUCGUUAAGGGUUUACUGCGGUGCGCGUGUGUGAGUGUUUGUACAGCGAUCAUUUGAGCGAGAACCGGCGGCGCUUCUUUGUGCGCGGUAUCUGCUAGCUGGCGCGUACGUGGCGCCAAUCCCCUAGCUCGUGCGAUUGUGUGCAGUAGGUCGCCCACUUAGCGCGCAUUGUGCAGAUUUGCCAGUACGCUCCUUUCUAUCGUCUGUGUCUCUUCGCACCCACGUCGUUGAUUGUGCAGGCAGUGCGCGACUGCGGCACGUAGCAUGUAGAGCCUGCGCCCGUCGACUUUGAUCUACGGGCGUGAAAUGUCGGCGGCGCGUUUGUGGUAUUAAAAGCGUGUGGUGAGCUUCCAACGGCACAACGGGUGAACGCCGCAUGAGCUGCCGGUCAGAGUAUAAGAACCUCUUUAUUGUUAGCGUACUGCUUGGCGGUAACAGGUGUCCUGCUUGGGUUCAGAUUACUGGAUACGCCGUCACUUGAACCUCGGCGGCCGGAGCAGGACUGCGGCUGCGGUCGUUUCAUUGCCAACUGUGAGGAUGAAGCAGCUUCAUGGCCGGAGAUCGGGUGCCUCCCAUCAGUUUCCCUUUUCAGCAAUAGAGGCCUUGGAGGCCUUUCUACCUGCGUUGCAUCCUGUGGCUGGACCACUCCAACGAUCUCGGCGGAAUCGUUACACAGGUGUGUUCUUUUGUGAUUCUCAGUACUGAUAUUUUCUAGUUUACGUUCAAUGUAAAUGCACAGAUCAAAUGAAAAACAGGUUAAAAGAUGAGCUCACAGGCACUGUAUCCAAAUGUUUGUUAGGAAGGAAAAUCUUUUUUACAAGUUGUCGUUAUAGCAACACAACAG